CCCUUAGAUGUCCUGGGCCGCACGCGCGUUACACUGAUGCGUUCAACGAGCUUAUAACCUUGGCCGAGAGGCCUGGGCAAUCUUGUUAACGUGCAUCGUGAUAGGGAUAGAUUAUUGAAAUUAUUAAUCUUGAACGAGGAAUUCCUAGUAAACGCAGAUCAUCAAUCUGCAUUGAUUACGUCCCUGCCCUUUGUACACACCGCCCGUCGCACCUACCGAUUGGAUGGUCCGGUGAAGCCUCGGGAUUGUGGUUCUUGCCGCUUUAUUGUAGCGUGACCGCGAGAACUUGUCUAAACCUUAUCAUCUAGAGGAAGGUGAAGUCGUAACA
rnacentral:rRNA from 1 species